AAGUCUGAUAGCCAUGUUUGAAUUCACCGGAUGUUUAUUUCCAGAAGAAAAGUAUAAACAAACACGACGAUAGCCUAAAAACGAAGUUUGUUUCCCGUCUUACUGAAGAAGAUCGGCUUACUUCAAGUUACCGACGAAUGAAUAUCAGCUUUCUCGUUGUUUUUGACGACCGAUGCAUAUUUUUACAGACAAACAUCGUUACGAGACAGGGGUUUUGAUGAUUAAUUUAUCACAGAUUACACGGCCGAAGGAAACGCAGUACCGAUCCAUGUGUUACAAUCAGACUGAGUCUUCAUGCAGUACAUUCUGGAAUGAGGAACACCGCAUGCAUUGUGGUCCAAAUUGAUGGCAUUGACUUAACACAAAGCAGAAAGGAUGAAGAGAAAUUAAGAAGUUUAUGUUUCACAUUAAUUAAGAUUAUUCGAGAUAUGUUAUCUGUCGAGGUAUACAACAUUUCCUUUCAUAAUAAAAGUGUAAACAUUAAUAUAUAUACAAAAAAAAAUCAUGUAUAUAAUCUAAAAAUCCUUGUUAGUUAUUUGUUGUACUAGCAAAAAAUAUAAUAUAGUCGUCUCAAGCUUGGUUGUAUUGAAAUCCCCAGGGACAGUGACAGAGAUAUAUCACUACAUGUACAUGCUACAUCAAACAACACACCAUUGUUCAAAUUGUCAAUCAACAUUUCAUUUAGUCAGUAUUUAGAAUUGAUUCCAAAAUUAUGAUAAUCUUUUCACAGUUUAUUAGAAAUAAUGUUAAAUUCGAUAGAAGAAGUCUUCGACUGUUGCUUGUUUUUGUUUAUUUUAAGUUCACGGACACACAUGAAAACAGUUUCCAGUACAUCUGGGCUACUUCGAGGAAACUACGUAUACUGUCUGAAAUCAGUCUUGUGCGUCGGUGACAAAAUGUAUACAUAUCCUACUAUAACUCUGCUGGAAAAUAUUAUUUUGUACUAUUUUCCUACUAUUUUAGAAAAAAAAAGAACAGAAUUAUAAAUACAUACUGUAGUAUGUACUGACAUUGAACUUGUAUAUCUUGCUGACUAUUUUUGUUGAAACAAACCACUUCUAGCUAGGAUGAAUUGAUAUUAGUUGUAUUUGAAAAUUGUACUAGAAAAAGAUAGCUGUGUUGUGUAUGUGAUGGAAGUUUUGAGAAAAAGAAUAUAAGAGGCAAAUAAAAUAAGUACCAUGGGUAAAUCAGAAUUAAAAUUUGUUUUGUCACAUUCUCAUUUCAUUGAUAAGUUUUAAAUGUUUGAACUAGAAAA